rnacentral:rRNA from 1 species
UACGUAGGUGGCAAGCGUUGUCCGGAUUUACUGGGCGUAAAGAGCGCGCAGGCGGUCGUUCAAGUCGCGUGUGAAAGCCCCCCGGCUCAACUGGGGAGGGUCACGCGAUACUGAUCGACUCGAAGGCAGGAGAGGGUAGUGGAAUUCCCGGUGUAGUGGUGAAAUGCGUAGAUAUCGGGAGGAACACCAGCGGCGAAGGCGGCACUCUGGGCUGGAACUGACGCUGAGGAGCGAAAGCGUGGGUAGCAAACAGG